GACGAACGCUGGCGGCGUGCUUAACACAUGCAAGUCGAACGAAGUGGCGAACGGGUGUGUAACGCGUAAUCAACCUGCCCUUCAGAGGGGGACAACAGUUGAAAACGACUGCUAAUACCGCAUACUGAAGGAGGCGCUUGCGUGUGAUUAGCUAGGUGGAGGGGUAACGGCCCACCAAGGCGAUGAUCAGUAGCCGGUGUGAGAGGAGGAACGGCCACAUUGGGACUGAGACACGGCCCAGACUCCUACGGGAGGCAGCAGUGGGGAAUCUUCCGCAAUGGACGAAAGUCUGACGGAGCAACGCCGCGUGAGGGAUGACGGCCUUCGGGUUGUAAAGCUCUGUUAAUCGGGACGCGGUACCGGAAUAGAAAGCCACGGCUAACUACGUGCCAGCAGCCGCGGUAAUUC
rnacentral:rRNA from 1 species